CACGUCAGGUGCGAGCACAGAAUCUGAGCAAAAGGAGGGGAGGGGUUUCGGGUUCAUAACUUCAACCCGAUGCAAAGAGUUGAAUCCCCUGUGGGCACGUAGAGAAGUUUUCAAGUUUGUGUAUUAGGUUUCGCUCUCCUCAGAAUGAAAAGAUCUCCCCCCACACGUUAGUCAGCUGACUUGUAGCCUCAUCUGCGAAUUCUAUGUCGUACUUGUAAAGUUCUAAAUCGUAUCUGUCUCAUUGAAGUUAGACUGGAACUAUUCCGCCGGUUACUCAACAGGUGACGUUGUAGGAAGCCUGUAAGAGCUUUACAGAAGUGUCGUAGCCUACUUUGGGGAGAACAGGACAUAAAAGACCUUGCCCAAGCGUAAGGUUAUCUGUUCUCCAAAAAGGAGCUUGACAAUCCAACCAAACACAGUCUGGAAAUGGAUAAGGAUAUUGAAUUCAAGACUGAAUGGUACUACCCGCUGGACAACAACGAAGGAAGUAGUGAGCUUGCUCCAAAAAAGAAAUCAGGCAUGAUGGGGAUGAUGCAGAAAGUCAACCCAUUCAAAUCCUCUUCUCAGAGCUCCACAGCUGGACCACGAGCAGAGGCCUCAGUGGGGACUGCAGGAGGACAAGGCCCAGGCACCAAACAGAAUCCUGGCAUGUUUGUUGGUGUCAUGCAGAAAGUCAACCCCUUCAAGUCAUCCACAGAAGCGAGAAAGGCUGAACCCUUGCCUUACUCUGAGGAGGAUCAGACAACAGUCAAGAGGUUCCCUUCAGCAGAGGAGAUGAGCAAGGGCCCUGACAUCAAACAGGUGCAGACAUAUUUUCCAUCUGACAAGCAUAAAUCGAUACCCACGCACACUCACGCCUACGUCACCCCACACUUAAUCUAAAGCCUGAAUAACUUCAUUCGUAGCUUUUCAAAUCAACGCAGAUUUGCAUACUUACGUUCUUUGUUGGACAAUAUUGCUUUUGUGUGUUUGUUUUUAGACUCCUGGAAUGUUUAUGGGUGUGAUGCAAAAGGUUAAUCCCUUCAAGUCCUCACAGCAGGUAGUGUUCUCGUCACAGUAG
rnacentral:lncRNA from 1 species